AUUGAACGCUGGCGGCAGGCCUAACACAUGCAAGUCGAGCGGAUGAAGGGAGCUUGCUCCUGGAUUCAGCGGCGGACGGGUGAGUAAUGCCUAGGAAUCUGCCUGGUAGUGGGGGCUAACGUCCGGACACGGGCGCUAAUACCGCAUACGUCCUGAGGGAGAAAGUGGGGGAUCUUCGGACCUCACGCUAUCAGAUGAGCCUAGGUCGGAUUAGCUAGUUGGUGGGGUAAAGGCCUACCAAGGCGACGAUCCGUAACUGGUCUGAGAGGAUGAUCAGUCACACUGGAACUGAGACACGGUCCAGACUCCUACGGGAGGCAGCAGUGGGGAAUAUUGGACAAUGGGCGAAAGCCUGAUCCAGCCAUGCCGCGUGUGUGAAGAAGGUCUUCGGAUUGUAAAGCACUUUAAGUUGGGAGGAAGGGAAGUAAGUUAAUACCUUGCUGUUUUGACGUUACCAACAGAAUAAGCACCGGCUAACUUCGUG
rnacentral:rRNA from 1 species